UGGGGAAUAUUGGACAAUGGGCGAAAGCCUGAUCCAGCCAUGCCGCGUGUGUGAAGAAGGUCUUCGGAUUGUAAAGCACUUUAAGUUGGGAGGAAGGGCAUUAACCUAAUACGUUAGUGUUUUGACGUUACCGACAGAAUAAGCACCGGCUAACUCUGUGCCAGCAGCCGCGGUAAUACAGAGGGUGCAAGCGUUAAUCGGAAUUACUGGGCGUAAAGCGCGCGUAGGUGGUUUGUUAAGUUGGAUGUGAAAUCCCCGGGCUCAACCUGGGGACUGCAUUCAAAACUGACUGACUAGAGUAUGGUAGAGGGUGGUGGAAUUUCCUGUGUAGCGGUGAAAUGCGUAGAUAUAGGAAGGAACACCAGUGGCGAAGGCGACCACCUGGACUAAUACUGACACUGAGAGACGAAAGCUAGGGGAGCGAAUG
rnacentral:rRNA from 1 species